rnacentral:lncRNA from 1 species
ACAUUGCUUUACCGUAUAGAUGUAUCAAUAUCUGAACGGCCAGUUAUGAUUUCUAGAGGCAACACCCCAAACGCAACCACAUUGGUCUUCAUUAGCUGUUCCAUUCAUAAAGAACUCGAAGCUAGAUAUCUGCAAAAAUAACGAAGGUUACAAUUCACAACAGCAAAAACGACAUUUAGAUUCUCAACAUUUAACUCUAAGAAAAAUCAAAAAGUGUAAUUUUUUAAAAAAGGAGA